AACUGUAGGGCUCAGUUGGUAGAGCAUGAGACUCUUAAUCUCAGAGUCAUGGGUUCGUGCCCCACGCAGCUG
rnacentral:tRNA from 1 species